rnacentral:rRNA from 1 species
GUGGGGAAUUUUCCGCAAUGGGCGAAAGCCUGACGGAGCAAUACCGCGUGAGGGAAGACUGCCUAUGGGUUGUAAACCUCUUUUUUCAGGGAGGAAUAAAAUGACGUGUACCUGAAGAAUAAGCAUCGGCUAACUCCGUGCCAGCAGCCGCGGUAAGACGGAGGAUGCAAGUGUUAUCCGGAAUCACUGGGCGUAAAGCGUCUGUAGGUGGUUUAAUAAGUCAACUGUUAAAUCUUGAGGCUCAACUUCAAAACCGCAGUCGAAACUAUUAGACUAGAGUAUAGUAGAGGUAAAGGGAAUUUCCAGUGGAGCGGUGAAAUGCGUAGAUAUUGGAAAGAACACCGAUGGCGAAAGCACUUUACUGGGCUAUUACUAACACUCAGAGACGAAAGCUAGGGUAGCAAAUGGGAUUAGAAACCCUUGUAGUCC